rnacentral:rRNA from 1 species
AGUGAACGCUGGCGGUAGGCCUAACACAUGCAAGUAGAACGGCAGCACAGUAGGAGCUUGCUCUUACGGGUGGCGAGUGGCGGACGGGUGAGGAAUACAUCGGAAUCUACUUUUUCGUGGGGGAUAACGUAGGGAAACUUACGCUAAUACCGCAUACGACCUACGGGUGAAAGCAGGGGAUCUUCGGACCUUGCGCGAUUGAAUGAGCCGAUGUCGGAUUAGCUAGUUGGCGGGGUAAAGGCCCACCAAGGCGACGAUCCGUAGCUGGUCUGAGAGGAUGAUCAGCCACACUGGAACUGAGACACGGUCCAGACUCCUACGGGAGGCAGCAGUGGGGAAUAUUGGACAAUGGGCGCAAGCCUGAUCCAGCCAUACCGCGUGGGUGAAGAAGGCCUUCGGGUUGUAAAGCCCUUUUGUUGGGAAAGAAAAGCAGCAGGUUAAUACCCCGCUGUUCUGACGGUACCCAAAGAAUAAGCACCGGCUAACUUCGUG